rnacentral:rRNA from 1 species
CCUACGGGUGGCAGCAGUGGGGAAUAUUGGGCAAUGGGCGCAAGCCUGACCCAGCAACGCCGCGUGAAGGAAGAAGGCUUUCGGGUUGUAAACUUCUUUUAAGAGGGAAGAGCAGAAGACGGUACCUCUUGAAUAAGCCACGGCCAACUACGUGCCAGUAGCCUCGGUAAUAGGUAGGUGGCAAGCGUUUUCCGGAUUUACUGGGUGUAAAGGGCGUGGAGCCGGGCUGACAAGUCAGAUGUGAAAUCCCGUGGCUCAACCACGGAACUGCUUUUGAAACUGUCGGUCUGGAGUAUCGGAGAGGUAGGCGGAAUUCCUAGUGUAGCGGUGAAAUGCGUAGAUAUUAGGAGGAACACCAGUGGCGAAGGCGGCCUGCUGGACGACAACUGACGGUGAGGCGCGAAAGCGUGGGGAGCAAACAGGAUUAGAUACCCGGGUAGUC